rnacentral:rRNA from 1 species
GACGAACGCUGGCGGCGCGCCUAACACAUGCAAGUCGAACGAGCGAGAGAGAGCUUGCUUUCUCAAGCGAGUGGCGAACGGGUGAGUAACGCGUGAGGAACCUGCCUCAAAGAGGGGGACAACAGUUGGAAACGACUGCUAAUACCGCAUAAGCCCACAGGUCGGCAUCGACCAGAGGGAAAAGGAGCAAUCCGCUUUGAGAUGGCCUCGCGUCCGAUUAGCUAGUUGGUGAGGUAACGGCCCACCAAGGCAACGAUCGGUAGCCGGACUGAGAGGUUGAACGGCCACAUUGGGACUGAGACACGGCCCAGACUCCUACGGGAGGCAGCAGUGGGGAAUAUUGCACAAUGGGGGAAACCCUGAUGCAGCGGCGCCGCGUGGAGGAAGAAGGUCUUCGGAUUGUAAACUCCUGUUGUUGAGGAAGAUAAUGACGGUACUCAACAAGGAAGUGACGGCUAACUACGUG